rnacentral:misc_RNA from 1 species
GGCGAGCUUGGCAAUGUCAUCGACGAGGACGAGGUCUGAGUCAAGGUAGACGACUCGGCGGACGCCUAAAGGGAGGAUAUUGGCCAAGUAGCUGCGAGCGUAAUUGAGAGGGCAAUCUAGAGCAGAGCGGAUAGAGGUGGAGAUGAGUCUGGAAACGAACGAGUCAUCGAACGUAUAAACACGGAAUUUGAGGUAAGGGAAGGAGGAGGAGAUGGUGGCUCGUAGAAGAGAAGCGUUAGCGGAGGCGGAAGCGACGAAAUGAAAAGCAAUAUUUUGGGGACAAGAAGAGUGUUGAAGAACAGAAAGAAUUGCUGCCAUGGAGCCACGUAUGUAUGCCGUAUCUAGAGUCAUUGCUACGUGGACUGCUUGAUCGGAGCAAAAGAUGAUACUAUCGUCAUCACCACAGUCUGAUUCCGAAUCAGGGUCAUCUUGAUCAAAUGAAGGGCAAUCUGGGGAGUUAUAGAACUGUG